CCGCUCUUUCACCACCGGAAACAAUUCUACAAUUUCCAUCCUUUAGAUUUCUUUUUUUAAAACCUAUACAGGUAUUUUUAAAAACCGCAAUUUUUUGUAAUAUAGUUAGACGAGAAGCCAUCAGGUCCUGAACGCUGGAGACAAAAGGUUCUGCAUCACUGCGGAUCUCAGAUCUGCAAGUUACUACACAGAUAGUCACGUUAGACGAGAAACCUCCAGUACCUGAACGCCAGAGGAUCUGGGAGACCCCAGAGGAUCUGGGAGACCUCACAGCUGUAAUCCUCGGUGAAGAAUAACGUUAAACUGAAACCUGGAGGACGAAUGAGCGGUGAACCUCAGAGAACCUAGUGGAUCCUACAGCUUCAUCUCUCAGCACAUAAUAACGGUAAAAA